AAACAGCUGGCUACCACCUGGCUACCUGUAUAACAUAAAGUAUUUACAAAUUUCAAAAUUCACUUUUAAAAUUUGUAAAUACUUUGUUUUACAGGUAGCCAGGUGGUAGCCAGCUGUUU